rnacentral:rRNA from 1 species
CCCUUAGAUGUCCUGGGCCGCACGCGUGCUACACUGACGCCUACAGCGAGUACUUCCCAGCCCCGAGAGGCGGCUGGUAAUCAGCAAUAGGCGUCGUGAUGGGGAUAGAUCUUUGGAAUUAUGGAUCUUGAACGAGGAAUGCCUAGUAAGCGCAGGUCAUUAGCCUGCGCUGAUUACGUCCCUGCCCUUUGUACACACCGCCCGUCGCACCUACCGAUUGAAUGGUCCGGUGAAGCCUCCGGAUUGGCGCGCACCUCGGUGCCGCCGAGAAGUUGGCUAAACCUUACCAUUUAGAGGAAGGUGAAGUCGUANCA